AGCUUUGCGCAGUGGCGAUAUCGUAACCAAUGAGGUCCAUCCGAGGUGCGAUUAUUGCUAGUUGAAAACUUUUAGACCGGUUUACGGAAUCAUGAUAAGCCUUGUAGUUGAAAUUACUCGAACCUGUAACUUCGG